GAUGAACGCUGGCGGCGUGCCUAAUUCAUGCAAGUCGAGCGAACAGACGAGGAGCUUGCUCCUCUGACGUUAGCGGCGGACGGGUGAGUAACACGUGGAUAACCUACCUAUAAGACUGGGAUAACUUCGGGAAACCGGAGCUAAUACCGGAUAAUAUAUUGAACCGCAUGGUUCAAUAGUUAAAGACGGUUUUGCUGUCACUUAUAGAUGUAUCCGCGCCGCAUUAGCUAGUUGGUAAGGUAACGGCUUACCAAGGCAACGAUGCGUAGCCGACCUGAGAGGGUGAUCGGCCACACUGGAACUGAGACACGGUCCAGACUCCUACGGGAGGCAGCAGUAGGGAAUCUUCCGCAAUGGGCGAAAGCCUGACGGAGCAACGCCGCGUGAGUGAUGAAGGUCUUCGGAUCGUAAAACUCUGUUAUUAGGGAAGAACAAAUGUGGAAGUAACUAUGCACGUCUUGACGGUACCUAAUCAGAAAGCCACGGCUAACUACGUG
rnacentral:rRNA from 1 species